rnacentral:rRNA from 1 species
UACGGGGGGAGCUAGCGUUGUUCGGAAUUACUGGGCGUAAAGCGCACGUAGGCGGCUUUGUAAGUUAGAGGUGAAAGCCCGGGGCUCAACUCCGGAACUGCCUUUAAGACUGCAUCGCUUGAAUCCAGGAGAGGUGAGUGGAAUUCCGAGUGUAGAGGUGAAAUUCGUAGAUAUUCGGAAGAACACCAGUGGCGAAGGCGGCUCACUGGACUGGUAUUGACGCUGAGGUGCGAAAGCGUGGGGAGCAAACAGG